ensembl:lncRNA
CCCAACCCCCUCCUGCAGAAAGAGACCCCCUCCCCCUACUUUCUCCCCCUAGAGUUACAUGACAGUUCUUGUUUUUAACUGUGCCAGCUGCCCGCGAGGGUAAAGCCCCGCAACUCCAGGGAAUGCGCGUGCCGCGGCAGGUGGCAGUGGAGGACGCGGCAGGUGGCAGUGGAGGACGCGGCAGGUGGCAGUGGAGGACGCGGCAGGCCUUGAACUCAGCGCGUUAGUUGGGUGGAGCGUAAGUGCAGCGUGCCGGCACUGCGCUUCUAUGGUACUUCUAAGGCUUCUAAGUGUGACCUGAAUGCAGCAGGUUUGUAGAUUUGAGUGUUUUUGGGGGGCAUUGAGCUCUCGGACCGUAAAACAUAACGACGGCAUAUUUCCCCGAAUGGCACCUUACUUACUACAGUAGACAGCAAAUGCUAAUGUGGUAAAUAGCAGACGUGUAGCCAGAAAAGCCACUUCCUCUACGGUUUCCCAUUUGAGACAUCAGUCACCACGCAUUGGCAGUAAUGUGAGGACAAACCCUCCAUUUGUUUGAAAUAACUUCUUGUUUAUAUGACAAAGAGUGUAUUAGCAUUUAUCUUGUCAUUGAGGCUUACGCCUAAUUUUUUGUACUAAUGCCAACAGCUACGCUGUCAGGAUGUAUGAUCGACUGAGAGCCAGGUACCAGCCACCAACUGUGGAUUUGUUUUUUAAUUGCCAGUUUUUACUUUAACUUGAUACUUUUAUACAAAUCAUAUCAGUUUGACAAAAAAACAGAUCAAGAAUUCUCCCCCGUUCUCAUUUUUGGAAAGAACUGCAGCUGGUCAUGUUUUUUUUUUUUGUAAAUCCUUCGUAGCUGCAAUGAUCCCCCACUCUAUCCACGUUUAAUAGGUAUUCACCAUAGCAACAGGCGAUGCUGUCAGGCGCGCGUUGACAUGCACACGCAACCCGUGGCUACAAAGAAUCUACAUAAAUAGACGAUCCACCACUUUGUCUGUUUCCUGGGUAACACCAGGUGAUUCUCUGAGGCAACCUCCACCCACACAGGAGGUCUGCUGCAUCCUUCUGCAAGCGCACGCACACACAUACACGCAGGGUCUCAUUAAGGGAAACAACAGAUAAGCACAAUUAAUUUCAACCUUGAUUGGUUCAGUUUCAAGUUAAUUAAGAUACAUUUCAAAGUAAAUAUGUGAAAGGUCCUUUUUAUGGGAUCUAAAUGUGUUUUUCACCAACAUGAUGAACAAACAAACUACACAAAUUCCUUAUCUGACAUGAUUGAAAGACGUCAGCAAUUUGAGAGGUGGGGAAGUUGCCUGCCAGCAAUGCCAGCGCUGAGAAAUUCAUCAUAAUAAUAAAUGAAUAUUUGCACAGGAAACUGAAAGAAGCAAUGAUUCCUACAAAAAUGAAGGGUGUUCAUUGGCAUUUUAGGGCUUAUCUAUCGCCAUAGCAACAAACGUUGUUCAUGCAAAUCCAAUCAGACAGGAGAAAGAUUCAGCGGAUUUUGGUUUGAUUGUAUUUGGGGUCUUAAAUAAAACAAGUUUGGCUGUGACGAUAUCUGGACAAUGUCUGCUAUUGUUGUGGUCGCAUGCUGCAGGGCCGUGUCUUCUGUCCCAGCAGGGAGCGUAAACAGCGCUAUCACUCUCAUCUAUUGAUUAGAUCAUUGCUGUUCUCUUCUUUAAAGAGCAACCGGACACUGGGCCUAAAGGUAAGGUUACGCAACCCCCCCCCCCCCCCCCCCAAGAAAAUGUUCUCCACCUUUGGUCACAUCAAGCAGCUCAAAUGGGUGGAAAUGUUAAAAUGGGCCACUUCUUACAGCCCGUGUUGCCCAAUGAUGUACGGGUAAAAUGUGUGACCUCUGGUCCCAACUGAAGUGGAUCAAAUUGGCUUUUGUUGGUUUCCUAACUUUAACCGGGAUGUGCGCCUAAAGCAGGACAAGGUAAAGGGACCAGAGAGACGCCACAACGUCUCACAGUCCACCACGCCUUUCGAUGUCGGAGACGAGAGAAAGUUAGGAGCGCAAACCCGCGUCCCACUUCGAUUAAAACACCGCCGCUCUCUUGUCUCCACUCGUAAGCCGUGUCCGCCUGCGGGGGGCCGAAUGAGCUUCACCCUAAUUCAAAAAGUACACAGAGGCUGUUUUGUUCUUCUUCUAAUGUAACAACGUCAUCAACAGGUUCGUGUGGGGAAGUGAUUGCUGAAUAACCCACAUCCCACUGUCUGGAAAACAAGGCGUUAGUUUUUAUUGUUGAAUCUGCAUCUCCUGUCCUCCCUCAGAGAAUCCUUGGAUCUUUGCCUCUUGAUUUCUGACAUUAAAACUGUCCCCUUGCCAUUUGUUGCACAUAUAUUAGCCUUUACGUGAUUGAUUGAAUUAAUACAUUAUUUUGCUGUUUUUAAUCUGCUUAAAAAGAAUUGCCUGUAGGUUGGGCAUGAAUAGGAAUUACCCGGUGGGGCAUAGCUAAUUAGCAAGCAUUAGCAUAUGCAAAUAGGGCCCGCUAUCUUGUGUACAAAAUGUUGCUUAUGAUAAACACAAGCUAAUCACUUUAACAACUUUAGCGGUUUAAACGCUGGUAAUUGCGUAUUGUUCAAACAGAUGGACGUAAUUUACUGGAAAUGAUCAAGGUGGGGGGAAAACGCGAGAUAGUUGAGUGUGUUUUGUGUCCACUCUGGUUCGUUUGAGCUGCUGAGCCUUUGAAAGGAAAAGACUGAAAAGGGAAUAAAAGAUGUUCUCUACCUUAGCACCAGAUAUUGGUGUGAUGCAAGUUGAGAUUCCUUUUGCAUAACUGCACCGCAUAGUGACGCACGCCGCAGACCUUAUGAAAGCUUCGUGUCACGAUGGUGUGAGAAAAUACUGGAAUUAGCGAGGCCAAAUGCGUAAACACCAAAUGCCACGUGUGAGAGGCGUCCUGACGCACAUCACGCGUAUUUCAAAGCAACCGUAGCGCGGUAUUGUCCUCACAAAAUAUAAUAACGAUCCAAAGUGUUUCAGAAAUGUGAUGGGAAAUCCAACCAGCGGGCGUCAAGUCCUUUUCACCAGCAAUAUAACCAGCUGUGACCUACAAAUCUCUCCGUUCCAAUGCUUCAAAUCCAUAUUCCCACACUCGCUCUCCCCGCGGGAGAACAGUAGCCUACUUUUAAACAUUAUUAAAUAUAAACAGGAUCAGGCCAUAACCAAAUCAGACCUGCUGUUGUGCAACAGUAAGUCAUUCCAGCGCAAUGUUGAAAACUGAACGCACGGCAGCAGAAUUAUCUUUUUAGAUGCAAAAGGAGAGUGAUUGAAAAAUGUAAUCAGGAGAUGCACCGUGAGAACUUUAGUUUGAAAGUCGUCUCCCUCAAAGUCGCCCUCUCCUCCUCCCACGCCGUGCACGUCAGACAGCCUCGUAGCUCUUUUCCACAAAUGCCUUUGUCACGUGUAAAUAAAGCUGUAACCGACGUUUAUUCAGACCUGUCUCGGGAAUGACAAACGGCCACCACAUUAACAAAUAGAUGAAGUCGGCCACGUUUCCGCUCCGAGCGUCCGCAGGGCGAAAGACGGCGGACGCAUCGUGACACCGCAGACGUCCUCUCGUCCUCGGAGAAAUGGCUCACGAAGAAACAGUCAUAGUUUAUCAGUGGAUGGGUUCGUAGUGAAGGGCCCCCGCGGCACGAGAGUCUCUGUCCUCAGAGGUUAGAGCUUUGUGAAUGACAGUGGACAGAGACGGGGACCUGCGGCAAACUUUCCAGUCUGGAGAUGGCAACGGUUUCACACAACACACACACACACAGUUUCUCCACGGGGUGAUUUAGAGAUAAACUUUGUGUCUCUCUGUUGUUUGCAUGCUCCCACAGUCACUCAUUUUCUGCAGGCUGCCUGUGUGUGUGUGUGUUGGAAUAAAUGCUUGUAUGUCUCUCUGAGUCACGCUGUGGACUUACAGAGAAGAUAAAAUCGUUUCAUCAUGUUGCAGCAAACACCCACCCUGCGCUUUUGAACAGGUGUAAGUCCACCCCAACAAAUGACACCAUUUUGCCCUCUAAACGCACCGGUUUAAUGGCGCAGAAAAUCCAUGGCAAUAAUUUAGCCGUCUGCGGGGUUUUGGACGUUAACAAUAAUCGUGAGCAAGGGCUUCAUACUUUCAUGUAAUUAGAAUCCGCACGUUUCAUUUGUGCUCCUGUAACCACAGCGGGCCGGAUCUCGCUUCACGAUGCAGUCUGUGUUUUAAUUUGUCAACACUAAACGCUCGCUCGCCUCCUUUAAGGGCUUUAAUUUACUGCUAAAACGACAACGGAGAUAAAAACCGUUCCCCCGCAAGCCGACAGACACGUUACAGUUACAUACAUUGUAUUAAAAUUGUGUCAAGUCUCAAAACACUAAGAUAUAAUACUAUUUCAGCUUAUUAGUUGACCAGUAAGUCUUAAUAUUCAUCCUCACUACCCCGGAUCCAUAAAACUGUUGAUUCAAGGCAAUAUUUUGGGCAGGUCAAAGAGACGACCAGAAGGCAACGCUCUCUCUGAAUAACAACCCUUUUCCCUGCAGGCCCAUUAUUCUGAGUUAUACCUUCACCCGUUGUGAAAGUGCAGAGAAGAAGUGUCUCAGCACAUGCGAUUAGUCAUUUAUUUUAGAAAGGGUUACACACCUCAUUUCAGAUAGUGGCCUCUUGCUGCUAGCGUGACGUCUUGGACGGUCCCCUGAAGACGAGAGGCCGGGUAAUAAGAAGGAGCAGCGUGGCUCCCGUGGAUCCGGGAAAAAGAUGGCUGAUAUUGUGGCAGGCAUCGAAGGCAAAUGAAAUCCAAAUCGGUUGAAUUGGUUUGUAUAUUCUGGGUUUGUUCGCUCUAAUUACACCUUGAAACAUUCUCCGAUUCAAAACAUUAAGCUGAACACACCUUCCUGCUGGGUUUCCCCAUUCGCGCUGAAGGUCAGCACAGGUGUGUGGGCAGUUCAGCUUUCGGCGCCGGGGUUCCCCGUGGACGCUCCUCAGCCGCCGUUCCAAGCGGAGUAACCAGCCGUAUCGGAUGUUUCCACGUGUCCAAUGUUCACUGUUCCAAUCCGGAAAUCACCUGCUCCCGGGACACAUCCGUCUUCGGGCGGGCCUCCCCUCCACACUCGAAACCCGUUCCUCUUCCUCCCGGGACUAUUCGCUCUCCCUGAGGGAUGAAGAGCCAUUAGCAGGUAAUGAAUGCUGGCCGUGUGUGAUUUCAGCAGAGUGUCUGUAGGCCGGACCGAACGGGGAACUGGAGAGUGGACAUUUUUCUCAUUGCUCCCGUUCUGUGCUCCGGGGGGGGAAAUUGGGGAAUUUCGAUUACUUCGGCCUCGGUCUGAAGGUGGACUGUUGUAAUUGGCUCCCCUCAGAGACCGGCCGGCGUCAGAGGCUAAAUGUGGCCCUUUUGUUGCGGCCGCUUCAUUCCGUGUAGCCACAUACAGCAUGUGUAAUAGAUGUGCAUCUCUUUCUAUCGGUCUUCAGGCCGGACGAAGCGCCUCCGAUUUCCCCCCCUGCAGUGUGUAAUCGGGGAGGGGAGGGGGGGGGGGGGGAACCAUGGCUUUAUGACUAGAUGACAAGCUGCGUGAUACAUUGUUGAACUGCUUUGACCGCUGUGCUGUGAAAGUUACCAUCAACCGCUCACUGCUGAAAUAUAAAUCAGGAUCCCUGCAGGUUAAAUGUAGAGGUAGUGAGCAGCAUGUGUGCUUAUUGAGGACAGUGUGGUUUACUGCGUGUGUGUGUGUGUGUGUGUGUGUGUGUGUGUGUGUGUGUGUGUGUGUGUGUGACACUGUUCUGUGUUUCCCAGCUGCGUCUCUCCAGCCUGUCGGGGAAAUGCGCUUUAGAAGGUGCAGACUUGAAAGCAGCCUGGAACUUCUUCACAAGCAGUACUUCUUCAUUGACUUACUGAGUAUUCACAAUGCUUCACAAAGUUUUUGGCACAGUGGGAGGUCCAAACUUCUCAACUAUGCUCACUUUCCUGAGGUACGUAAAAGGUAAGUGGGUGACAGCGCCGCAGCAGAGAACGUAAUGAUGGGAUUUCAUCCUGGGGAUCCAGAGGAGCGCGUCGUACCGGACGGGAGAAGAUGAACAGGACAUUGGACAUCAUUUAUUAUUGCCAUGCAAGAUGGCGCAUCAAGUUUAUUUUUAACAGUAAGCCUCAAUAAGAUGGUGGUCAUAUCAUGCAAUAACCCUCCAUCCUCCACUAUCUUUAAAAUGGAUAGAAAAUGGUCAGAUCUGUGUUUUAGAUUAUACUGCAAAUUCCACGCGUUCUAGCCCAAAAAAUACAAUAAAACUGGGGGAGGGGGUACAAGCUCGAUGCCCAGGGGAAUUCCACAAUAAAUGGCAAAGUGAUGAGGGGAGCUCAUAUCUGCAAGGGGAUAUAAAUGGUGUUGCUAACGCUGCGCGGCGGUCUGCGAGCAUGCCAGGAGGCCGAGGGAAUCUCAUUCCCCUGUAUGUGCGGGGCGGCUUGGGCCAACGUCGGAUGAAUGAUAAAUGAGCUGCUGGAGACGAGGUCUUGUGUGCAAUCCCAUACGAUAACUGUCAGCGUGGUCACAGGACGGCUGGGAUUCAAAAGAGACGAGGACUUAAAACAUUACGAGUACAAAGAGCAGCCUCUUCUGAUACGAUACAAUAUAAAUAAUAGUUUAUUAUGGGAACCUUUUCAUUUCCUCCGCUGUUGCCCAAGAUCUUUACAAUUCCUGCAACAAUUAUUGUAAUUGCAGCAUCACCCCUUUACCCCGAAAGAUUGGUCGAGAUCUCCAUCAGGUGCUGGUCUAUACAAACUGUUUCGUCUUUCAUAGAAACAGCCGUCAUUGCCAUGGUUACCCAAGAAAUGUGUGAUAUAACAUUUCAACCUUUUUGCUCUUGCGCUAGUAUAAUCAUUCUCAAUGCUGAGGCCUGACCCACCAUCUAUGCCACAAGUGUAAUUUAAAAAUUCUGUUUCCUCAGACUGUGAUUUGGUGAGUUGAGGAUCAGAUACAUGAGAGACCUGAUCUUGGUGGAUUUUGGAUGAUCCAAAGGCUUGUUGUUUCCAUUUUGUUUUAAAAAAUAUGUUAAUUUUUAGUUAAAAGGGCACAAACACAUUGGUAAAGCUGUAAGGAUACUUCUUGGAGGAGUUGCAGGGUCUUGGCUAUCUCAGAUGGAAAAUGAAUCAUCAUUCAUUAAAAUGGACUGCCAGAUUCAGCCGUUCUGCUACUGGAUUCUCUCCUAUUGCAGAAAUGUCCCAAUACCAUUUCAAGGACAUUCCUCCCCGAAUUGUUCAUCUGCAGCCGGGGCAAUGGGGAAUGUGAAAGUUAAAUGACCCUGAACUUGAUGCAUCCUGUUUUUGUGAAAUUCCCUCAGCGCUAAGUAGCCAUUUGACAAGUGGUUGCCAUGGUAGAAGAAAGUGGGACAGUCCGUUGCAGGCCGCGACGUCAGCGAUUAGCCUGAUGGAUGCAAAAGGAGGGGAAAUAUCCGCUUAGGGCCUCUGAUUGGCCAACGAGGAAACAGCGUGUUCCUGGUUGGUUGAAAAGUCGGCGUUUGGAUCCUCGACACGCACUCGCCAUGUUCUCAUCUGCUCCUGCUAAUUAGCCGUUCGCCUGAGAGAGCCCUCUGCUGCCCGCCAACCCGAUUAGCCAAGGAAACUGUCCCCAUGAAUCGUUGGUUCACAAACAAACAAACAAAGAAACACACACACACACACACACCAUCGUACCCGUCUGUCCGUUGCAGCUCGCACCAAGUUUGAAUCUAUUUCAAUUAUCAAAUACCCUUUGAGUGAGUGCUUGAUGCUGAACUACAGCACGGCCAAAAUGCAAUAUGCAAGAGCUCGUCUCUCUUCUGACUCCAGCAGCAUAAUGAGCCAUCAGCUACUGCUGACAGUCUAACAUCAGCUGGCCAAUUAAUGCCCAUGCUUCUUUUUUAAUCAGGCGCCCGUGCAGAUGCCUCAGUCCAACAGUGUCUGGGUCCUGGCUAUUUGGAGGCUGCUUUUUAUGAGGCUCUAAUGAUUUCCCCGAGAAAAGCAGAAUUCACAUUCUGCCGGAUGAUUAGUACUCAAUGGGAGCGUCUUGGACAGAAGCCUGGAGGUAGUUUGAUACCCCGUGGAGAGCCACGAAGCGGGCAAACCAUAUUACACAAUAAAUACAAUUUGGGAGCGUUUGCGAGUAGGACUGCUCCAAUGGGCCUUCAAGGGGUUUGCGGCUUGUAUCAAACGUCAGCAAAACAAUGCAUUUGUGUUCCAACGACCGGUGGUGAGAUAAAACGUGCAUGGCUAAGAUAGCAAUUCACAUUAAAUAAACGGGAGGACGGGAGGAACGGGGGAGGGGGCGGCGCGAGAGAAUCAGCGAGGAACAAGAGAGACGGAUAGAACAAGCGCUCCCUAUGGGACUGUCAGAAGAUAAGGGGAGCUGUUUGCGUGUUGUGGCCGGCGCUCCGAAAGCAGGUUUCGCAAAUUAUGGCUUUUGACGAGCGCUCGGCCUGCUGUCACUCAGCGGGCUCCGUUAUCGGGAUGAACCCCCGGCAGUGGGAACUUCUAGAGAUGCUCCUGUGAAACACGCAUGAUGUCUGAUCACUUUUUCCACGUCCUACAGCAAGUUAUUAGAAUGGAGGCGCCACCAUGAAUACGUCCUUUUCCGUCCUCCCAGUGGUACGAAGCCGUUAUUAACUGCACCACGCCUGGUUUAGGAAACAGCAUCGAUUUAUAUGUUAAUUACAUCUUGGGACAGAUUUAACAAGCUCUUAUGGAAGUCUGAGGAGUCCUGAGCUCGCUGUAUUUCUUUCUUUUUUUUUGUCUAAUCUCCUGUCCUCCGUUCCCUCGAAUAUCCAAGACCCGGCAUCUGCAGUCUGGUCACGGCGCUGACACAGGUUAUCCUGAUGAUAGCAGAUGUCAUUUAAUGUGAUCUCCUGGGGGGAGAGUGAAGGGGCUAAGGCUAAUGGAGAGUGGAGCAAAUCUCAUUUCUCUUUGACAACAUUGUUCUCCUUUGUAACUCUACCUCGUUCGAUUGCUGUGAACUGGGAACGCGGAGCCAGGAAACCGUUGUGGAAGAUUAUAUAUAUAAUUCUUAUAUCACAAACCAUGAUAUUUUACCACGCUUUGAUGUCAGGGACAUGAAGCGGUGCCACCAAUCAUUUAAAAUUCCCGCGGGAGACAAUUAUCAUCGUGUUCGUGAUAGAUUUGAUCAAUGCACCUACCGGUAAACAAAUAAAUCAUGCAAAGUGUUACUACGCUGCCAUGAGAAAUGUUGCCACCCCGCGUGCCCUGUAAAGGUCGGCGGUAACAUAUGCACCGAGAUGGGGAGAGAUGGCACAUGACUGGAGGCUGGGAGUUGGAGCCACUGUGACAGGCCGGGCCGGCCGACGGCUUGCAGCGAGGACGUCUCAAAUCUCGCAUUUAAAUCUACGGCCGCGGAGCUCCACGGCACCGAGGCCGUGACGCAGGUCAGUGUGUCACCGGUGGUAAAGCGUGCUGUCAGCUGGGGGAUGCUUAUUUAGAGACUUCUCCUUCUGCCAAACUGCCCCGGGCGGGAUAUCGCCGCAUUUCAUUUUCUCUGUAGAUCC